UGAAUCCCUAAUCCAGUUGAAAACUUUAGCAACUUACACACUGAGCAAAGUCGAAAUAAUUGAAAAAAGAAUGGCCGUGUUUAGUUUAAACGAACAAAAUAACGCAGAUUCAUUAUGUCAUCGAUUGCCACUUAUAACGCUUAAAACAUUAGAGGACUUGGAAAAACUUGAACUAGAAAUAAAACAGAGUGAAAUAAUGAAAAAUCAAUUGUUUCAGUAUUUGAAAUAUUCCGGAGGGGCGACAGAGAAAGAAUGUGGCAACAGAUGGAGAAGGUAUUUACUAAUGACCUAACCCAAUACUGCUCAUGGACGGGAUAGAAAAAUAAUUACAAGCCGUGUGGAUUACUUACUAUGGACGUAAUUAAAGCCGCAGUAAAAGAAAGUUUUCCAUCUUCAACUGAUGAACAGUUUGAAAAGAUAAUCAUGAUGUGGUUUGCGCAUGCCGGUACCCGUAUCGCCGUAUCAGAAGAUCCAAAUAAGAAGACUGGGAACUGCCCAUAAAAAUAUCGUUAGAACUUAACAAAGAGCGAUGAUUUAUCUUUAAUCAAUAAUUUAACCCUGUUUUUGGCAAUUAAUCUUAUAAGCAGGGCCCGGAAUUUUAG